AGUUCUGCUCCGAAGAGGCAGAUACUUAAUAUCUGUGGUACUCCAAAAGCCCUGUGUUUUCUGUCUGUUCAUCCUUCUUCCUCCCGGAGUCCACGGCAACCACUGAUCUUUUUAUGUCUCCAAAAGGCUUGGCUAUCGCUGUAGCAGUAGUCAGGACUGGCGGCCCUUGAGGAGACAUGACUACAUGGAGAAGUUAGAAGGUAUUUAUUCUGGUUUGAUGUACAUGAUGUAAAACAUUUCUAUGAUCUAGAGGACCAUGGUGAUCCCUGUCAGUUCUAUGGAUCCUCUGUAGUUAAAUUUGCAUUACUGAUCUAGUGGAUAUGUACUAUGUUAGAAAGACAAGAAAUACGCCUUCAGUAAGUUGUUUAUUUAUUAAAUUGGUAUCACGAUAACUCUGGUCUGACUCAAGAUUAAAAUUUAAUAGACUUAACCCUUACCAUUGAAAUUUAAAGAUACUUCAAAUUGUGAUAAACCUUCAAAAUCCAGCUAGCUAAUCUUUGAGCAUCUAUUAUCAU